rnacentral:lncRNA from 1 species
CAGUGUUCAUUUGGCUUUACUUUUUAGGCAAAGUGAGAAUACUAAUUGCAACUGAUCUAGCCUCUAGAGGACUUGAUGUCCAUGACGUUACACAUGUCUAUAAUUUUGACUUUCCACGGAAUAUUGAAGAAUACGUACACCGAAUAGGGCGCACGGGAAGAGCAGGGAGGACUGGUGUUUCCAUUACAACUUUGACUAGAAAUGAUUGGAGGGUUGCCUCUGAAUUGAUUAAUAUUCUGGAAAGAGCAAAUCAGGUGAGACUAUGCAAUUCAUUAGAAAUCUACCUGUUAUCAGUAUCUCAGUCAGUUAUGCCGGGUACUAUGGCUUGCUAUUUAUCAGGAAGCUUCAAAUAAGUUUUCAUCACGUUUUGAGGGCUUUAGCAUGGCAGUGAUAAGAAACUAUGGGAGCAUAUAACUGGGAAACUUAACCUAAUGGGGGUGAGCAAUGAAAGCCCCGCCAAGGAAGAAAUAUGUAGAGUGGAGGUGGGGAAAGUUGUAGAAGAUGGGGUAAAUGUUCCAGCAGGGGGAACAUAUUCAGGCUCAGAGGUAAGAAAGAAUAUGUAGAAAAUGCUACCAUAUAAAGGCACAUUAAAGGCACUUGGAAGCAGCUGAAGCAGCAAAUUUUAUAGCCUGUAGAUGGAUGUAGGGUUUAAUCGAGAUACCUGUUUCUGUUUAAAGGAUGUCAUGUAACCAGCUGUGCGAUUAUCUGAAAUGAUUUGGAUGCAUUUUAGUGUUGUAGAAAAGAACUCAGAAUCCUAAUAACAACACGUUGAAUAAUUUCAGAGUAUUCCAGAGGAGCUUGUAUCAAUGGCUGAGAGGUUUAAGGCACAUCAACAGAAAAGGGAAAUGGAAAGAAAAAUGGAAAGACCUCAAGGAAGGCCCAAGAAGUUUCAUUAAUGUCUUCUGUACUAGUGGGGUAGAGAAUUCAAGAUUUUUUAGAAAUAUAGUAAGACGGAAGUAUUGGACAUGUUGGCAGUAUGAAGAGACCGGACUGAUUUGACUGAUUCUUAAAAUAAUAGUGUUUGAAAAUAUAGAAUCCAGUGUUUUAUACUUUCUUUAAUAAAAAUAGAAGUAUUUAAACUUGGAAGUUGUUUCCUGGAUUUUUAUUAAGGAGUGUAGCAUUAGAAUGUUUUUCUUUUAAUCUUUUAAACUGUCUCCUGUAAUUUUGCUGUAUGUCAUAAGGCCAGUCUUUCAGAAUUUAAUGUUCAGAUUUUGUCAUGGCAGUGAAAAAGAUGUUUUCAAACAAAGAAUCAGCACCUGAAAAAAUACUGUUAAUAAAUGUUCGUUUCUG